AACGAACGCUGGCGGCAGGCCUAACACAUGCAAGUCGAACGCCCUAGCAAUAGGGAGUGGCGCACGGGUGCGUAACGCGUGGGAAUAUGCCCUUCACUGCGGAAUAACGUUUGGAAACGAACGCUAAUACCGCAUAAUGACUCCGGUCCAAAGAUUUAUCGGUGAAGGAUUAGCCCGCGUUAGAUUAGCUAGUUGGUGAGGUAAUGGCUCACCAAGGCGACGAUCUAUAGCUGGUCUGAGAGGAUGAUCAGCCACACUGGGACUGAGACACGGCCCAGACUCCUACGGGAGGCAGCAGUGAGGAAUAUUGGACAAUGGGCGCAAGCCUGAUCCAGCCAUGCCGCGUGAGUGAAGAAGGCCUUGGUUGUAAGACUCUUUACCUAGGGAUGAUAAUGACAGUACCUGGAGAAUAAGCCCCGGCUAACUCCGUGCCAGCAGCCGCGGU
rnacentral:rRNA from 1 species